rnacentral:rRNA from 1 species
GAGUUUGAUCCUGGCUCAGGACGAACGCUGGCGGCGUGCUUAACACAUGCAAGUCGAGCGAUGAAGCUCCUUCGGGAGUGGAUUAGCGGCGGACGGGUGAGUAACACGUGGGUAACCUGCCUCAUAGAGGGGAAUAGCCUUUCGAAAGGAGGAUUAAUACCGCAUAAGAUUGUAGUACCGCAUGGUACAGCAAUUAAAGGAGUAAUCCGCUAUGAGAUGGACCCGCGUCGCAUUAGCUAGUUGGUGAGGUAACAGCUCACCAAGGCGACGAUGCGUAGCCGACCUGAGAGGGUGAUCGGCCACAUUGGGACUGAGACACGGCCCAGACUCCUACGGGAGGCAGCAGUGGGGAAUAUUGCACAAUGGGGGAAACCCUGAUGCAGCAACGCCGCGUGAGUGAUGACGGUCUUCGGAUUGUAAAGCUCUGUCUUUAGGGACGAUAAUGACGGUACCUAAGGAGGAAGCCACGGCUAACUACGUGCCAGCAGCCGCGGUAAUACGUAGGUGG